GUGGGGAAUAUUGGACAAUGGGCGCAAGCCUGAUCCAGCCAUACCGCGUGGGUGAAGAAGGCCUUCGGGUUGUAAAGCCCUUUUGUUGGGAAAGAAAUCCUGUCGAUUAAUACUCGGUGGGGAUGACGGUACCCAAAGAAUAAGCACCGGCUAACUUCGUGCCAGCAGCCGCGGUAAUACGAAGGGUGCAAGCGUUACUCGGAAUUACUGGGCGUAAAGCGUGCGUAGGUGGUGGUUUAAGUCUGCUGUGAAAGCCCUGGGCUCAACCUGGGAAUUGCAGUGGAUACUGGAUCACUAGAGUGUGGUAGAGGGAUGCGGAAUUUCUGGUGUAGCAGUGAAAUGCGUAGAGAUCAGAAGGAACAUCCGUGGCGAAGGCGGCAUCCUGGGCCAACACUGACACUGAGGCACGAAAGCGUGGGGAGCAAACAGGAUUAGAAACCCUGGUAGUCC
rnacentral:rRNA from 1 species